GUGAGAUAUCGCGUGCAUCUAACACACAGACAUACACACAAACAGACAUACAAAUACCUAUCAACAUACUUACCGAUCUUAAGAUCGAUAAGUCAUUAGCGGCAAUGCCAAUCGUGCAACAGUAUGAAGCGCACACUCGCACAGAAGAUCACCAACAAAUUAAGUGCCGAUCCUACUUCAUCGUGAUUACUAUACGUUACAAAGCGUGGAAAAUCAUUUCAAGAUUUCACUUAGAAGCGAAACACCUCGCUAACGGCGAAAAGUGGCUACUAUUCGGAAUUAUUAGAAAAUCAGCCAAAAAGAUAACAAAUGGUACAUUUUUGAUAACAUAGUUAUUAUCAUCAUGAGAUCAGCUGGAAAUGAAAUCAACGAUUCCUUACAAAUGGCUUCAUCGAAUUUUGAUAUUCAAGAAACUUGUAAAAGUUUAACUCAAGUCAUUGAAACCUGUGGUGUUAAUUCACUUGGAAAUAUUUUUCAAAAAAAGAUAUCUUUAUCAACAGAACAUAUAAAUAGUGUGUGGUGAGAAGCGGAGUUUCUAUGGCAGACUUUGGUAUUGUGAGACGAUUCUUGUGACUGGAUGGAGCAAUGUUCCAACUUAUAAAUAGAAUACAAAUACAUGGAGUGCAAGUUAAAGGACCCUAUAUGGUGGCUCUUGAAGAUUUUCACUCAAAUCUCAUGUAUUAAUCUCAAAGAUUAACCACAGAACCACAUUCUGUGUUAAAAACAACGAUUCUGGUUCUAUUGGACCGGACAAGAAAAAGAUUGAGCAAAAUCUGAAUUAUGCCUUGAAAACUUUUUGGUAUAUUUUUGAGUUACCAUUACCCAAACUUGAUAUCGUUUCAAGAAAAUCACCUGGACAUGGCAGUGAUAUAGCAGAUUAUGAAUUAGAUGAAAAUGGAAAAAUGAGUUUGUCACCAACUGGCCGUUUUCAGCUUCAAAACAAAUUGAAAAAAUUCCCUAUUUUGCCAAAUGUAUUUGCUGAUCUUCGUCCUAUUUGUAGUUUUGAAAAUGCUUUUUUGGUUUGUUUCUUACACAAACUUUCAUCAAAAUUCAAUGGCAAAUACCAACAUGAAAUUGGAGAAUUAUGCAAGAAAAAUGAUAUCUUGGGAAAAAUCUGUGGAAUAUUAUUUGAACAACCUGACGAAUUCUCUGCACUGAAACAUGGUUUUCAUCCUAAGCCUCAUUUAUCUUUGAGGUUCAUGGCUCAUUACAGAAAUAUAUUCUACAUUUUCAUGUUAUAUGCUCUGUCGUUAUUUUUCAAGUUCAGUUUUGUAUAUGCAUUGAUUCACAUUGUUUUUCUACUUGUCAUCAUAAUAUUCUUCAGUGCUUUGUUCAGUGAAGAUUGAUAUUUUCCCUUUGAUAUGCAUUUCCCUCCCUCCAGGUUCAAUAGUUGACAAAAUAUAUAAGACUGUUGCAUUUGCUGAAUCUUUUAAUUUGCAUAUAAGAAUAAUCAACUAAAGCUGUGGUGUGGAGUCUGGAAAAAUUUACACCUUCCUUCAAAUUCUUUAAAUAAUUAAGAAAAAACUAUAAUUUUUUUACUAUGCAUACUUUAUUUACCGGUAAGUGUUGACUGUUGAGUAUGCUUACAUGGUUUCUGAUUUCCUGGGUAAAGUUCCGACCUUGAUUAUCUGUUUUGAAAGUCUGAAAUUUUGACUCCUGGGAAUUUGAAGUGAACACCUUGAAUCCAUUAUUAAUAGACACAUAGCAAACUCAGACAACACACCCCUAGUUUUGAGUUCAGUUUUUUUUGAUUGUAAUAGUAAGAGUUUGAUCAACCACGCUUUUGUGUCAUCUUGCUACCCAAAAUACAUCUCUUACGACAAUAAGCUACUCCUUUUUGACAAUAAACAGUUUAGUCACAUAAAUAUGUUGUGAGCUUGUGAAUGGAUUUCUAAACAAUUUAUGUUGAGUUUUCAGUAUAGUUUGCUGACCUUUCAUCGAAAUCAUUUUCUGUUGGUAAAUACAUGAUUUUCUGCCUAAUACUGCCAAGAUUUUGUGCAGAUGUAAAAUUGCAGAAGUGAUUUUCUAAAGUCAUAGAUCAGUCAUAUCUUCUUUUAUAUUGUUGGUUUAUAAUGUUUUUAUAUAAAUUUUGUAUUUCAGUAAAGACUGAUAAUCAGUAGUGUUUAGCAGUAAUUGAGAGAAUCACAAGUGAAAUACCCCUGCCUUUCGCCAUAUAGGUAGCACAGCACAUGUAAACAAUACAAGGUUAAAGCAGAUUUAAUAAAUAUUCAACAUAACCCUGUGUCAAAAUGCCAUAUCUACACAACUUCAACCACACUGCAAGUUGUUUCCCCUUGUUAAUAGUAGAGGAUAUGGUAUUGUGGUUUGAUUAGACAGUUUGCUUUGUAUGUGUUAGCAUUUUCAUUGGAUCACAUGUAUUUAAUAUAUCAAGACAGAACAUUACUUAAAUCUUAUAAUGGCAAAAUAAAAAUUGUUCCAAAUCUAACCAUUUGUUAUAUUGCAUGACCACCACCAGUGGUUUUUGAUGAUUAUAAUUAUACAUUUAGAUACAUAAUACUUCCUUAAACAAUUUUUUUAGGUGCAAAUCCAUAUGUUAAUAUUACAAAACAUGUAAACUCCUCCAUGUUUUCUAAAAUUUCUGUAAAUUGUCAAAUUGCUAAUAAAUUGCAUGUCAUAUUGGGUACCGAUAUAUGUGUUCUUUCCAAGUGGCAAUAUAUCACAUGUUAUGUUUUGAAUAUAAGUUACCUAAGUGAUUUUUUUUGCAAUGUCAUCUGGUUGUUCUGUGAGCUGUAUUUUUAUUGUACCAGCUCAUUGCACUAUUUUAUAUCGUUUGAAUUUUUUGUUGGAUCUUUGCGAUUUUCAAAUUGCACUGAAACAACAUCAAAAUUCUUUGGAACGAAAAAAAUAUUAUUUUCAG